ACUGUCCGUCUCUGAUUGUCCAACCAUUCACCCCUCCAGCUGUGACUGUUCCCUCCAUUUUUUCAGCCCCGAUUACCAGUUUUGAGUCCCACCCACCGUCCUCAUUAUUCAACUUUCUGACCACCCAUCUGCUGGUGACGGUCCGUGUUCCUAAUUCCCCACCAGCACCACCAGCCUCCCACCCCUCUGUGCGCCUCACUGUCCGUCUGUCCGUCCACCCCCAGAUCAACUACUACUUCAUCAACAGCCAGGGCCACCCCAUCGAAGGCCUUGCCAUCAUGUACUACAUCGCACACCUGCUGAAGGGCGCCCUCCUCUUCAUCACCAUCGCCCUGAUCGGCUCAGGCUGGGCCUUCAUCAAGUACGUCCUGUCGGAUAAGGAGAAGAAGGUCUUUGGGAUCGUGAUCCCCAUGCAGGUCCUGGCCAACGUGGCCUACAUCGUCAUCGAGUCCCGCGAGGAGGGCGCCAGCGACUACGUGCUGUGGAAGG
rnacentral:sRNA from 1 species